CCCAAUGGACGGAAGUCUGAGGCAGCAACGCCGCGUGCGGGAUGAAGGCCUUCGGGUUGUAAACCGCUUUUCUGCGCGAAGAGGAAGGACGGUAGCGCAGGAAGAAGUCUCGGCUAACUACGUGCCAGCAGCCGCGGUAAAACGUAGGAGGCGAGCGUUAUCCGGAUUUACUGGGUGUAAAGCGCGUGCAGACGGUCAUGUAAGUGGUGCGUGAAAGCGCCCGGCUCAACCGGGCGAGGCCGUGCCAAACUGCGUGACUGGAGGCAGGUAGAGGCGCGUGGAAUUCCGGGUGUAGUGGUGAAAUGCGUAGAUAUCCGGAGGAACACCAGUGGCGAAGGCGGCGCGCUGGGCCUGACCUGACGCUAAGACGCGAAAGCAUGGGGAGCGAACGGGAUUAGAAACCCCGGUAGUCCAUGCUGUAAACGCUGCAGACUAGGUGUUGCGUGCGACGAGUAUGCAGUGCCGAAGCCAACGUGAUAAGUCUGCCACCUGGGGACUACGGCCGCAAGGUUAAAACUCAAAGGAAUUGACGGGGGCCCCGCACAAGCAGCGGAGCGUGUGGUUUAAUUCGAGGCUACACGAAGAACCUUACCUGGGCUUGACAUGGCGGUGGUAGGGAACCGAAAGGGGACCGACCUUCGGGAGCCGUCACAGGUGCUGCAUGGCUGUCGUCAGCUCGUGUCGUGAGAUGUUCGGUUAAGUCCGGUAACGAGCGCAACCCUCGCCGCUAGUUACAAGUGUCUAGCGGGACUGCCCGUUGAACGCGGGAGGAAGGUGGGGAUGACGUCAAGUCAGCAUGGCCUUUAUGUCCAGGGCUACA
rnacentral:rRNA from 1 species